GCAGACGUCUGUGAUUUGCCCUCGUAUUUCGUGUUCGGAGCUUUAAUCGUCGUCGUCGACGACGUCGACGCGGAUGCAACGCGUUCAGGCGCCGACGACGACGUCGUCGCUGCUCCAGAAACCAGCUGGUACCUGGCUGUCGUGAAUUUUUCUGAUGGUCGACCCACCACCGGCGGCGGCGUUGUUAAUGGAUGAGGAGGAAGAAGACGAUGCCGACAGGAGGUGAGCGCUGGUGACUGGUGUUGCACUAGCGGAAGCGGUAACCGCUGAUACAGCUGCUUCCGAUGCACCAUCGACCAUCGGUGACCGCGUAGAACUCGGUAGACUGCGUACGACAGGCUCAGGAACAACGACUGGAGGACGUUGCUGCUGCUUGUUGCUGCCCAGAUCGCCAGCGCAGCCGUAAUCGUAGCUGCAGCAUAGCUGCCCGUCCUACGGAGAGGUUCGUUGGACACUGGGUUAGCCAACGGCGAAACGAACGGGACCAAGCGACUGUAUCGUGUUCGCCUGACUUUCGCCCUCUUCCGUUUCUUUUUCAAUCAAUUUAUUUCUAUUUUCUUUCCGUUCUUUACAAAAUUCAACGCGAAUACUCCCUUGCCCGCGCGAAAAGUCUUGGUAUACGCGUGCGUGCUACCAUCUAUCGGGUGCGUGAUGCGUUAUAGUCAGAAGCGGGAAAUUUUGAAACUGUAUAAAAUAUGAUUUACAAAUCUAGCGUGAUCUGCAAUUCUGUGAUCGUUUUUUAAUAUUUUGGCGAGAUAUCUUUUGCGAGUUCAAAGAGAGGAUAUAAUAAUUUUAUUUUAUCUAUUAAUUUAUAUUUAUAUAAGAGAACCUAGGGACACAUAGGGAAGUGCAUCUGAUUUUGAAUUCAUGAGCGUGCAGGAUCGCUUCACUUUUAGAACGAAUUAUAUGAAUCUAAUGCUCGUUGUAUAUGAUAUGAAUCGGUAUUCGUUGAUUUAUUAUGAGAAAGCGUGUGAAGAAUAAUCGCGGAUAUUGUAAUAAUCCCGAUUAACUCGUAACUCGUUGGCCCAAGACUUUUCGCAUUGCUGAAGGGGAUACUCAGGUAAUCCUCCACAUAAUAUGUAAUUCAUUGUUUCGUCGAUAUCACGUACGACGAUUGCACGAUGAAUCCGUUUGCGAUGAAAAUUUGCGCCCUUAUAUAUGUGAUGAUGACCCAGAUUCGAUGGAUCUUUCUCGUGCACGAUUAAUAAAAAUAUUGCUUUUACAAGCACAAAUUACAAGAACUCGACUCAUAACAAUCAUGCUCUGACAUUCGGGAAACAAAACAAUGAAUUUUCAUAGUAUGUAUCUGAUACCUUGAGGAUACCAUAUCUAGGUUAUCACUACUUCCAACAAUGAUUUUAGCAAAAUGAUUAAGUCUUAUGACUUUUGACCAGUAAUUUGUACAAAAUUCACAAAGAAAAUGAUGCAGUUUUCGAAUAAAAAAAUUUUUUUAAAAUCUAAUUUUAUUUCAAACGUUAUAUCUUAGAUUUUAUCUUUUUCUUAAGAAUGAGUAAA